rnacentral:rRNA from 1 species
CCAUGCAGUCGACGGCAGCGCGGGACUUCGGUCUGGUGGCGAGUGGCGAACGGGUGAGUAAUACAUCGGAACGUACCCAGAAGUGGGGGAUAACGCAGCGAAAGUUGCGCUAAUACCGCAACGUUCUACGGAAGAAAGUGGGGGAUCUUCGGACCUCAUUCUUUUGGAGCGGCCGAUGUCUGAUUAGCUAGUUGGUAGGGUAAAGGCCUACCAAGGCGACGAUCAGUAGCUGGCCUGAGAGGACGACCAGCCACACUGGAACUGAGACACGGUCCAGACUCCUACGGGAGGCAGCAGUGGGGAAUUUUGGACAAUGGGCGCAAGCCUGAUCCAGCAAUGCCGCGUGAGUGAAGAAGGCCUUCGGGUUGUAAAGCUCUUUUGUCAGGGAAGAAACGGCUCCGGCUAAUAUCUGGGGCUAAUGACGGCACCUGAAGAAUAAGCACCGGCUAACUACGUGCCAGCAGCCGCGGUAAUACGUAGGGUGCAAGCGUUAAUCGGAAUUACUGGGCGUAAAGCGUGCGCAGGCGGUUUUGUAAGUCUGUCGUGAAAGCCCCGGGCUCAACCUGGGAAUU